GCGGUUGGGGAUGGGCUCGCGGCCUAUCAGCUUGUUGGUGGGGUAAUGGCCUACCAAGGCUUCGACGGGUAGCCGGCCUGAGAGGGCGACCGGCCACACUGGGACUGAGACACGGCCCAG
rnacentral:rRNA from 1 species